ensembl:lncRNA novel transcript
CUCGGCUCAGCUGCGGACGGGAUCUGCUGGAGCUGGGUCACACCUGGGGCCCUCCGUGAGCCUGGUCUGGUACGGAAGAAAUUCCCCCUACUGUUCUAGAACUCAUCUGGUGUCAAGUGUGUCAGUGACGGGGCACUGAGACUGAUGCAAAGGAGAAAGGCAAGGAGAGAAAUGAUUUGCAUCUUAGACUGGUGCAAAUUCACACUUUGUGGAAAAUUAACAGGUUCCUCACAAGACACCCUCCCCAGCCACCGUGAAACCAGAUGCUCCUUAGCCUCCCCAGGGAUGUGUCUUACAUGUGCCAACAGUGAGCCUGGGCUGCCUCUCACCCUGAGUCUGUGUUGCUGUGGAGGCACCACUCUGCAGCCUUCUUCCUCUCUGCAAGCAGGCUGCUACCCACACUGGCUUGGACCUCUGCCCCAGUCAAGGGGGGCAGAGCUAUGACACUAGUCUCAGAGUUUCAACAAUGCCUGUUGGAAAGGAAAACCCACCUAUUUAUUGUAUCCUUUCUAACUCACUUAGGAAGGAUGCACAACAUCUUAAAUAUCACUGGAGAUAAGAAGUCAACUCUGACAUGAGUCUGCACAAAUAAACCUUAUGGAAAUAA